rnacentral:rRNA from 1 species
GAUGAACGCUGGCGGCGUGCCUAAUACAUGCAAGUCGAGCGAACGGACGGGAAGCUUGCUUCUCUGAUGUUAGCGGCGGACGGGUGAGUAACACGUGGAUAACCUACCUAUAAGACUGGGAUAACUUCGGGAAACCGUAGCUAAUACCGGAUAAUAUUUUGAACCGCAUGGUUCAAAAGUGAAAGACGGUCUUGCUGUCACUUAUAGAUGGAUCCGCGCUGCAUUAGCUAGUUGGUAAGGUAACGGCUUACCAAGGCAACGAUGCAUAGCCGACCUGAGAGGGUGAUCGGCCACACUGGAACUGAGACACGGUCCAGACUCCUACGGGAGGCAGCAGUAGGGAAUCUUCCGCAAUGGGCGAAAGCCUGACGGAGCAACGCCGCGUGAGUGAUGAAGGUCUUCGGAUCGUAAAACUCUGUUAUUAGGGAAGAACAUAUAUGUAAGUAACUGUGCACAUCUUGACGGUACCUAAUCAGAAAGCCACGGCUAACUACGUG